AUUGAACGCUGGCGGCAUGCUUUACACAUGCAAGUCGAACGGCAGCGGGGAGGAGCUUGCUUCUCUGCCGGCGAGUGGCGAACGGGUGAGUAAUACAUCGGAACGUGUCGAGAAGAGGGGGAUAACCACCCGAAAGGGUGGCUAAUACCGCAUAAAUUCUGAGGAAGAAAGCUGGGGACCUAGGAAUAGGCCUAGCGCUUUUUGAGCGGCCGAUGUCGGAUUAGCUAGUUGGUGAGGUAAAGGCUCACCAAGGCGAAGAUCUGUAGCGGGUCUGAGAGGAUGAUCAGCCACACUGGGACUGAGACACGGCCCAGACUCCUACGGGAGGCAGCAGUGGGGAAUUUUGGACAAUGGGGGCAACCCUGAUCCAGCCAUGCCGCGUGUAUGAAGAAGGCCUUAGGGUUGUAAAGUACUUUUGUUAGGGAAGAAAAGUCAGCUGUGAAUAAUGGCUGAUACUGACGGUACCUAAAGAAUAAGCACCGGCUAACUACGUG
rnacentral:rRNA from 1 species